rnacentral:rRNA from 1 species
GAAUUCGAUUCUCCUGGAAACGGGUGGUAAUGCCGGAUGCUCCACAUGAUCACAUGUGAUUGUGGGAAAGAUUUAUCGGUAUGGGAUGGGGUCGCGUCCUAUCAGGUAGUUGGUGGGGUAAUGGCCUACCAAGCGUACGACGGGUAGCCGGCCUGAGAGGGCGACCGGCCACAUUGGGACUGAGAUACGGCCCAGACUCCUACGGGAGGCAGCAGUGGGGAAUAUUGCACAAUGGGCGCAAGCCUGAUGCAGCGACGCCGCGUGCGGGAUGACGGCCUUCGGGUUGUAAACCGCUUUUGUUAGGGAGCAAGCGCAAGUGAGUGUACCUUUCGAAUAAGCACCGGCUAACUACGUGCCAGCAGCCGCGGUAAUACGUAGGGUGCAAGCGUUAUCCGGAAUUAUUGGGCGUAAAGAGCUCGUAGGCGGUUUGUCGCGUCUGGUGUGAAAGUCCAUCGCUUAACGGUGGAUCUGCGCCGGGUACGGGCAGGCUAGAGUGUGGUAGGGGAGACUGGAAUUCCCGGUGUAACGGUGGAAUGUGUAGAUAUCGGGAAGAACACCAAUCACUAGUG